GCAAGUCGAGGGGUAACAGGGGAGCUUGCUUCCGCUGACGACCGGCGCACGGGUGCGUAACGCGUAUAGAACCUACCUUUUACAGAGGAAUAGCCUUUAGAAAUGAAGAUUAAUGCCUCAUGGUAUUACAGACUGGCAUCAGUUUGUAUUUAAAGAUUUAUCGGUAAAAGAUGGCUAUGCGUCCUAUUAGCUAGAUGGUAAGGUAACGGCUUACCAUGGCAACGAUAGGUAGGGGUCCUGAGAGGGAGAUC
rnacentral:rRNA from 1 species